GACGUAGGGCGCAAGCGUUGUCCGGAUUUAUUGGGCGUAAAGAGCUCGUAGGCGGCUUGUUGCGUCGACCGUGAAAACCCGUGGCUCAACUGCGGGCUUGCGGUCGAUACGGGCGGGCUAGAGUUCGGUAGGGGAGACUGGAAUUCCCAGUGUAGCGGUGAAAUGCGUAGAUAUUGGGAGGAACACCAGUGGCGAAGGCGGCUCACUGGACCGGAACUGACGCUGAGGCGCGAAAGCGUGGGGAGCAAACGGG
rnacentral:rRNA from 1 species